AGAAACCAGGGGCCUACUCUGCUUUAACACUAAGCAUGUACUCGCGGCUCGCUGGGCCGCAAAGAUGUGCAUUGUGGGCCGCGAGUUUGACAUGCUUGAUAAAAUAUCAAACUAUUGAUUUCAAAAUCCCUUUUAAUGCUAACCCAUAAAGUGCAAAUUAUAAAUUUUUCUGUUUGUAUUUAACAUGCUCACCUACCCAAACUUUUAUUAGGUGAGUGGAUUUACCAAUAUACUGC